rnacentral:lncRNA from 1 species
GCUGGUGCUGGGAGUAGGGCGCAAGAUGUCGGCGGAUGCAGCUCCGAGGAGGUAGGCAGUGGGAGCCGGCGUUCAGUCCGGCCCGUGCCAACAGUGGUUCCUCUCUCCCCCGUAGUUCGAGGAGACCACGCGCUGCCCCUCUGGCACGAUCGUGGAUGAACCCCCUGGCAACUGAAAUGGGAAAGGCAGCGCCCCCGACUCUGGGGACUGGACCGAAGUCCACGGUAGUGACAGCUGCCAGACCCUGAGGAGAGGACGAGAAGACCCGAGGCCUCUGCUACGAACACUGGCAGCCGAUGGAAAAUUCAGACGGAUUUGGGACAGUAUGCAGAGUUCUCCAAGCGACAGAUUAACAGAGGCUCUUGAAGAAUAACUGCGUAAUCACGUGUUCUGCUCAAAAGAAGGCCUGAAUGCCCAGUGCCUUAUUUGGCUUUCAGGACAGGGUCUUGCGGUGUCACCCAGGCUAGAGUACAGUGGUGCAAUCAUAGCUCACUGCUGCCUCAAACUCCUAGACUCAAGCAAUCCUCCUGCUUCAGCCUCCCGAGUAGCUGGGACUACAGGUGUGUACCACAAUGCCUGGCUAAGUUUUUAAUUUUUAGUAGAGAUAAAGUCUUGCAAUGUUGCCCAGGCUGAUCUCGAACUCCUGGACCUAAGCAGUCCUCCCGCCUCAGCCUCCCAAAGUGCUCAGCUUACAGGCUUGAGCCACCAUGCCCAGCUUCAACCUAUUCUUUAUGGGCCAGGUAAAUACCUCUUCCCCCAGGAAGCCUACCUUGACCGUGUUAGCCCAUUGAGCUCUCACCUGCCUUUCUCUUUGUAUUACCUAUUCCACUGAUUUGCCCCUGAGCACGGACAGCCCUGGCGUUUAUGCGGACAUCUGCCUUGUUGUCUCAGGUAGAUGAUGGGCUCCACGGGAACAGAGCAAACGUUCGCUCCUGCUCCUACACGGUGUUUCCUCUAAACCUGAGGCUCAGCCGACUUGUCAUCACUUAAAACCCAAUUCAGAGCGGGGGGGCACUGCCAGUGAAUAGUUCAUCACCGACUCAGGUGGGUUUGGGAAGUUGAAAUUUGCAGGGGUGAGUGACGGGUUAAUACAAGUGGGCACAGAAGCAUUGACAAAGCUGUCUGUGAAGCCCUCCUGCUGUUCUAAGAUGAUGGAUUAGAGCCCAAGGGGAUCCUUGGUGUUACCUUUGAGGUUCCAGCCAUGGAGGCAAGUAGGGAUUGGGCUCCAGUUCUCCUCCUGUCACUAAUUUGCCUUCGUUUUUGGGGCCUCAGUUUCCCCAUGUGUAUGCUGUGGUAUUGGAUCAGCAACGAGAUAAGAAGAUCUCUCCCAUUUCCAAGCGUCUAUGAUGAUUCUGAGGCACAAGGUCACAUUUGACAGUACUAGGAAACCCAGGAAACAAGAAGCAAAGAUGACAAAGGCUGUGUCUGCCUGGGCAGACGAUCUAUUUGGACAAGAUAAUAGACCCAGGCAUGGACAUGCUCUCCAAGAAAGAUGCCCUGACAGCUGCUCACACUGAAGCUGAAUCGAACAUUCCAAUCCUUAGAGGUUCCAGCGAAGAUCUUGAAGUCUCCCUGAGCCAUUGACACAAUGGCCAUGCCAUCCCAGUGAUAAAACACAAAUUGUGGCCUUGUUUUGGACAGAAAUAAAGAGCCCAGUUUGUUAGUGAUUUACUGAUAAUAACUGAAUCGAGUACUAAUACUUGGCGAUUUUAAAAGCCAUCAUGUUAAAAAGACCACCUGAUUCCCAGUGACCCUGCAGUGACUGGGUUUGGGCAGCUCGUCCCCUGCACCUGUUUGGGGCUGUGCCAGCCACUUCCAGUGAGAACAUCGCAUUAACUUGCGGUCGCAGACCUGGCUGGACCCCUUGAACCAAAUUCCUUUCUGACCUUAUCAGACCCCAAAUAAAAGAGCUCACCAG